GAUGAACGCUGGCGGCGUGCCUAAUACAUGCAAGCGGGCGGACGGACGAGAAGCUUGCUUCUCUGAUGUUAGCGGCGGACGGGUGAGUAACACGUGGAUAACCUACCUAUAAGACUGGGGUAACUUCGGGAAACCGUAGCUAAUAACGGAUAAUAUUUUGAACCGCAUGGUUUAAAAGUGAAAGACGGGCUUGCUGUCACUUAUAGGUGGAUCCGCGCUGCAUUAGCUAGUUGGUAAGGUAACGGCUUACCAAGGCAACGAUGCAUAGCCGACCUGAGAGGGUGAUCGGCCACACUGGAACUGAGACACGGUCCAGACUCCUACGGGAGGCAGCAGUAGGGAAUCUUCCGCAAUGGGCGAAAGCCUGACGGAGCAACGCCGCGUGAGUGAUGAAGGUCUUCGGAUCGUAAAACUCUGUUAUUAGGGAAGAACAUAUGUGUAAGUAACUGUGCACAUCUUGACGGUACCUAAUCAGAAAGCCACGGCUAACUACGUG
rnacentral:rRNA from 1 species